AAUAAACCUAGUUUCCGUGUCCAUCGUUUAACCGUCCUGUCUUAUUUGAAAAAUUUGUGAAAAAAUUUAAAAAGAUAAGUCACGCAUAAAGUAUUAAUUAUGUUUUAUCAUCUAACAGCAAUGAAAAUACUAAUUAUAAAAAAAUUUCAUAUAAGACGGAUAGUCAAACGUUGGCCACAAAAACAUAGGGUUUGUCUUUUU
rfam:Oryza rufipogon genomic scaffold, chr03